GUAAAUUUGAGGUCAUUUUGCAGGUUGUGUGAAGUUGUUUAUAGAUACUAUAUUAGAGGUCAUUUUGUAGGUUAUGUGAAGUUGUUUAAAGAUAAUAAAUUGGAGGUUAUUUUGUAAGUUAUGUGAAGUUAUUUAUAGAUAGUAAAGUCGAGGUCAUUUUAUAGGUUAUGUGAAGUUAUUUAUUGAUAGUAAGUUGGAGAUUAUUUUGUAGGUUAUGUAAAGUUGUUUAAAGUUAGUAAAUUAGAGGUCAUUAUGUAUGUAGAGUGAAGUUUUUUAUAGAAAGUAAAUUAGAUGUUAUUUUUUGGAUUAUAUAAAUUUAUUUAAAGAUAGUAAAUUAGAGGCCCUUUUAUAAGUUUUAUGAAUUUGUUUAAAUAUAGAAAAUUUGAGG
rnacentral:lncRNA from 1 species